rnacentral:tRNA from 1 species
GGCUCACUAGCUUAGUUGGUACAGCACUUGUCUGGCAUAAAAGAGUCGUGAGUUCAUAUCUUAUCUGAGCUG